UAGAGAAAAAUUUGCCUAAAUUGUCAAAAAUUCCUUAAUUUUAAAUACAAAACUUAUCUUGAGCUCAAAUCAUGUCCAAAAUAGAUUUGUAGACAAAGAAAUGCGUAAGAAAAUUUGUAAUGAAGCUUUAACAAGUCAAUAUUUAAAGUCUUGAGAGCAAAUUAACCACUGAAGCGAUUGAUUCUAAUUUGUAAGGUUGGAUAAGAGAAGAAGAUGUCUUUGUCAACUGGGAAAGUGCUCGAAAAUUAUAUGGAUAGCAUAUGUUCAGUUUCUGGAUGAUUGCAUUUGAAUUUGAUGCUUUGAAUUUCAAUUCGCAAAUGUGUGUGAGAGAGGUGGAGGAGGGGGGAGGCGGGACAUACCCCUUUUUUACCAUCUCUCAAAUAAAUGUAUGUCUGUGACGAGCUGCCUUUGUUGUCAAGUGAAGACAAACAUUUAACCAAAGAAAAACAAGAGUGCAAGAGUCGGAAUAUGCACGACUACAAGAUACCCUACACAUACAGACAGGCACACGCGCAUCUUCUAUCCUCUUUUCUUCCUUUCUCAACACUAAGCAUGAAAAAAAAAACAUCCCUGCUUCUCAGAUCAGAAAUAGGGCAUCAAAAUGUGUGUAAAUACCAAAGCCCAAGCUUCAAAUUUGUUGCCUGUAGCUCUGAAAAUUUCUGAGAUAUAAACAAAAACGCAAAAAUCGAUAACAUUUGGUUAUCGAUUUAUCGAGAAUGGGAUCUUUUGGCUCUCUCUCUCAAGCCAAGCUACCCCAUUUACCCGUUUACAGGGCAUAAGACAAAGAAAAAGCUGCCAACACAAUUGAAUUACAAUGAAAAUAUGAAAUGAGCGACAAAAGCAAAGUUUUGUCUAGUUUUCUUCUACGUUUUUUUUUUUUUUUUGGUUUUUGUCCUUCGGGCGGCAAAAAUUAAGCAAACAAAUGCGAGAAGCGACAAAGAAACAAAGCGAAAAUAAGUGGAAACACAUGGAAAAUUGAAAAAAAAAAACUCUAAAGUGUGAGCGCUGCAAACAAAUAUAACUAGAAGCUGGACCCGUAAAAAAAUCCCAAAUUCAAUAUUUGCGCAUACAAACAAAUGCGUGUCCCUAGACGAGGAGCCCGCCCCCCUGAUGAGGUCAGUGCAAACAAGACGAACAAAAUGUGGCAAAGUGCUCAACGCUGUGGGCUAUAGGGAAAACGAAAGCAAGAGUCCGCACGACUAGCAGAUACCCUGUAGCCAGUUUCGAGCUGUCAAUUGAACUUUCUUCGCACUUCGAACUUCCUUCUACAACACACACACACACACACAGAAACAAUUCCCAGUCCUGUUUAUGCUUCUUCUUUCCCUCAGGUUCACUCUAUGAAAAAGUUAAUCUUUAAUAACUUUGUUGCUCUUAGUCCGAUUCUUAUGAAAUUUUCGGAGCUUUAAAAUAACAUUCAACUCUUGUUGCAUACAAAAAA